GAGAGGCUGCAGUCAAUGAGAGGCUUCUUGAGGAGGUGUUCCUCAUAUGGAAAUCAUUUUAGCGGCGACGCAGUUGCGCGACCAGUGAAGCUCUGGCUCCGCGACCGGCGUGGAGCGCGCGGGCCACGCGGCGCUGCUGCGGCUGCUGCGCGGGAGGAUCCCGUCCCUGCGCAUGCGCCUGGCCUUCAAUGACCUCACGCCUCUCUUCUUCCUCUUCUUCAUGCGCCAAUUCAAACAGAGGAGCACCUGUGAUUACUGAUUACCUAAGUUCCUAUAUACAAUAAUAGUUUAAUAAUUGUUAACAAAAUAUUGUAUAUAUAAGUAUUAAUAAUUACUUAUACAAAAGGCUAAAAGCAUUUUGUACCAGCCAACCUAUAGGAGAGAAUAUGAGAAAAAUAAUAAGACUUUAAUCUUUGAUUGCCAUUAUCUGUAGCUUUAUUAAGUGGUAAAGGGACCUAAUUACUACCUAUAUUUUUUUAGUAUUUGUGAUAAUUCAUAGAAUUUAUUAGUUCUAUCAAUAAAUAAAAUAUACAUGCAA